GAACGUCAGGACUCAGGAAAAGAAGCUCUCCGUCUGCGUGAAACGUUCCCAUUCCAUUGCUCAAAGUCCUAAACCUACAAUUCUCUCUGCGAAAAGCCAAAGCUUUCAUCUCUGCCUUUAGAAACCCUAGAUUUUUCGUUUAGAAGUUUGAUUUUGUUUAAGAAAUUUGCAGUCAUGGCUACGGGAUCAGCCUUAAUUUCGAGUACUAUUCCUUCUGCUUCAGCGCCGUACUCGUAUACAAACGGUCCUUAUUUCCCUGUGCCUUUCCAUCUUCAACAACAGGAUCCAACGGCGGCUCAGCAAUACACCAAACCCUACGUGCCUCCUGCUCCGCCGGUGAAAAUUCCUACUGCUUCGGUUAUCCCUCCGGUGUAUCCCGCUGCAGCGCCUGUUGCCGGCGUAUAUUCGCUUCCGCAGUAUCAGCAGGCACAGCAGUUAUUCCAGAGGGAUGCACAGACAAUUACACCCAAGGCUCUCGAGAGCAUGAAAGCUGCCCUUGCAAGCAGUGAAACUGAGCAUAAAGCAGAAAUAAAGAAGAAAGCAAUACCUUAUAAAGCAGCUGGGCAAACAUGGGAGGAUCCAACACUUGCAGACUGGCCAGAGAAUGAUUUCCGCUUAUUUUGUGGGGAUCUUGGUAACGAAGUGAAUGAUGAGGUUCUUUCAAAAACAUUUUCAAGAUUUCCUUCUUUUAAUAUGGCAAGAGAGAUGUGAAACAUGAAAGUAUGUUGAAGAAACAAGAUGACUACUUGCAAUCUAUUAUGUGGUUAGAGAUAAAACGGACUGGCAAGACCAAGGGCUACAGGUUUGUUAGUUUUGCCAACCCUUCUGACCUUGUAGCAGCAAUGAAAGAAAUGAAUGUCAUACAAGAGUAUAUUUGCCAUGGUGAAAACUAUAGAUGGAUCAAGCUGAGUGCUUCACCUCUGAAGUAAAUAUGUUGGGAACCGUCCAAUCAAACUACGUAAGAGAAAAUGGAAGGAUGGGAUAGAUUAUGAAGCACUGGAAAGGCAAAAAAACCAAACUCAAAAGAAACCAAAGCUUCCAAAGAAGAGCGUCUUGCACAAGUGAGUAAGCUAGAACAUGCUCCCAAUGGGUGGUUAAGAAGGAUAGUUGAUGUCGGUCAUGUUUCCCAGGGCUUUUCUGUUCCUAUAGUCAAUUUCUAACACGCGAGUAAGCUAGACCCUGGAAUGUUAUGUAAAAUUGUAAAUCAUCAGUCAUUGUUCAAGCCUUCAAGGUUUGUAGAAUGAUGAAUGAUGUCUUGAAUCUCUUGAUUGAUUUUGUAAAUCAUCUUGACAGAGACCCAAUUCAGCAUUGUUCAAUCCCUGGAAUGUUACUCGUGUAAUUUUUC